rnacentral:tRNA from 6 species
GGGUUAAGUUUACAGAUGGUUCUGUAGUGGACCUGCAAAGUCUUAAAAGUUAGGGUUCGAUUCCUUCUUAACUCU